rnacentral:rRNA from 1 species
AUUGAACGCUGGCGGAAUGCUUUACACAUGCAAGUCGAACGGUAGAGGGGGCAACCCCUUGAGAGUGGCGAACGGGUGAGUAAUAUAUCGGAACGUGCCCAGUCGUGGGGAUAACGUAGCGAAAGUUACGCUAAUACCGCAUACGAUCUAAGGAUGAAAGCGGGGGACUCGCAAGAGCCUCGCGCGAUUGGAGCGGCCGAUAUCAGAUUAGGUAGUUGGUGGGGUAGAGGCUCACCAAGCCAACGAUCUGUAGCUGGUCUGAGAGGACGACCAGCCACACUGGAACUGAGACACGGUCCAGACUCCUACGGGAGGCAGCAGUGGGGAAUUUUUGGACAAUGGACGCAAGUCUGAUCCAGCCAUUCCGCGUGCAGGAUGAAGGCCCUCGGGUUGUAAACUGCUUUUGUACGGAACGAAAAGGUUUCUAUUAAUACUAGGAGCUCAUGACGGUACCGUAAGAAUAAGCACCGGCUAACUACGUGCCAGCAGCCGCGGU